rnacentral:rRNA from 1 species
UUAAGUAUUAAAUUUAAUAGUUGAGUAGUAAUAGAGAUCUUGAAACUUAAAGAGUUUGGCGGUAUUUAAGUCUAUUUAGAGGAACCUGUAGCUUAAUCGAUAAUCCACGUGGUAUCUCACCUAAAUAAUAUAGUAUGUAUAUCGUUGUCAGUAGAAUAAUUUUGAAGAAUAUUUUCUAGAAAUUUGAGAUUAAAAUGUCAAAUCAAGGUGCAGCUAUAUUUAGGGGUAGAAUGGGUUACAAUUUUCAGGAAAUAUGGCUUACAAUUUGAAAUUUUGUAUAAAGGUGGAUUUAAUUGUAAUGUGUUUUUAAUAUAAAUAUAUGAAAAGGUACGGAGAUAUGC